GAACAUAACCGGGGGUGCUCCUUGCGGGGCUGAGAUGCGCGACUGCGCGAACCCUUUCAAAGCUGAUCUGGAUAAUGCCAGCGGAGCGAGGUGCUACCAUGUUCAU
rnacentral:ncRNA from 2 species